GGGCCCGUAGCUCAGCAUGGUAGAGCAGCGGGCUUUUAACCCGUUUGUCGUGGGUUCAAAAAUUUAGAAACAUCGAUUGGAAAUCCCACCGGGCCCG
rnacentral:tRNA from 1 species